rnacentral:rRNA from 1 species
GUAACAAGGUCUCCGUUGGUGAACCAGCGGAGGGAUCAUUAUCGAGUUAUUCAACUCCCAAACCCUAUGUGAACUUACCACUUGUUGCUUCGGCGCGCGCUUCGGCGCCGCCGAGGACACUUAAACUCUUUGUUUUUAUAAGCAUUUCUGAGUGGCCGAAAGGCAAAAAUACAAAUGAAUCAAAACUUUCAACAACGGAUCUCUUGGUUCUGGCAUCGAUGAAGAACGCAGCGAAAUGCGAUAAGUAAUGUGAAUUGCAGAAUUCAGUGAAUCAUCGAAUCUUUGAACGCACAUUGCGCCCGCCAGCAUUCUGGCGGGCAUGCCUGUUCGAGCGUCAUUUCAACCCUCGAGCCCGACUCUUUUGAGGACGGCUCGGCGUUGGGGGACGGCAGACUCCCCCCGGCAUCUCGCCGGGGACGCCGCCCCCGAAAUCUAGUGGCGGCCCUCCGAGGCGACCUCUGCGUAGUAACUUGUUCUCGCACCGGAAAGCUCAGAGCGGCCACGCCGUAAAACCCCAACUUUUUUCAGGUUGACCUCGAAUCAGGUAGGACUACCCGCUGAACUUAAGCAUAUCAAUA